rnacentral:rRNA from 1 species
CGCGGCCUAUCAGCUUGUUGGUGAGGUAAUGGCUCACCAAGGCGACGACGGGUAGCCGGCCUGAGAGGGUGACCGGCCACACUGGGACUGAGACACGGCCCAGACUCCUACGGGAGGCAGCAGUGGGGAAUAUUGCACAAUGGGCGAAAGCCUGAUGCAGCGACGCCGCGUGAGGGAUGACGGCCUUCGGGUUGUAAACCUCUUUCAGUAGGGAAGAGGCGAAAGUGACGGUACCUGCAGAAGAAGCGCCGGCUAACUACGUGCCAGCAGCCGCGGUAAUACGUAGGGUGCAAGCGUUGUCCGGAAUUAUUGGGCGUAAAGAGCUCGUAGGCGGUUUGUUGCGUCGGCUGUGAAAUCCCGAGGCUCAACCUCGGGUCUGCAGUCGAUACGAGCAAACUAGAGUGUUGCAGGGGAGACUGGAAUUCCUGGUGUAGCGGUGAAAUGCGCAGAUAUCAGGAGGAACACCGGUGGCGAAGGCGGGUCUCUGGGCAACUACUGACGCUGAGGAGCGAAAGCGUGGGGAGCGAACAGGAUUAGAUACCCUGGUAGUCCACGCCGUAAACGUUGGGCGCUAGGUGUGGGGCUCAUUCCACGAGUUCCGUGCCGCAGCUAACGCAUUAAGCGCCCCGCCUGGGGAGUACGG